UUGAUGUAAUCGGCAUGUCUAUUGCAUGCACGCCGGCGGAUCGCGGAGCUUGUUUUCCUGGCGAGGUCGGCCCGAGCGCGCCGUGUUUGGCCGGCCGCGCGAUCCUGACGCGCCGAACUUCGGCCGCGCGCCUCUUACAAAUAGAAGUUAUGUGACUGAAGCGGCACAAACAGAUCCUUUUCGACGCUAUGGAGCAGGAAUUUCCAGUUUGGUAAUGGCAACCUCCAAGACUUGGUACCCAGGUUCAGUCGUAGAAGAUGGUGUAGAAGCAAUGACACUCACUGACUUACCUUCUUCCAUCCGGUUUUGGGAAUUUAUCUAAUCUUAAUCUAUUUUAACUUCAAAUCUUCUUGAUGUAUUAUAAAGAAUUCAGUUACA